UUCCUAGUUAAGCCUGCGGUGUAGAAGUC
rnacentral:piRNA from 1 species